rnacentral:rRNA from 1 species
GUUAUUAAUCCAUGGGGGUGGAUAUAGUGUGAGUUUUCUAACUAGUAAAGAUUGUGCCAGCGGCUGCGGUUAUACAGUCAGUGGACUUGAGUUUUUGCUUAUUAAAUUAUUUAUAAUUAUUUGGUAGUGAAAUACGUAUAUUAUUAUGUUAUUUUAUUUAUAAAGAUUAUACAAUAUGGAUUAGAUACCCAUGUAGGAUCAGUAUAGGUAAAAUGUGGGGAAUAUCUAAAUAACUUGGCGGUAAGUUCAAAAGAUAGGGGGUUCUGGAUAGGAUAAUACACCAAAAUGAAUUUAGUACUUAUUUCUACUUGUAUGAUUGUUUAAAUUAGGUUUAAUUUUAAAUAAAUAUCAUAAGGGUUGUACCAUAAAAAUCUGGGAUUUAUAUGUAAUAAAAAUAAUGGACUUAUGAGUAAAUGUUGCUAAAUUGAAGAUAUCGAACGURAGUACAUAUCGCCCGUCAAUACCCURAGGGUAUAAGUCGUAACAUAGURGGUCUACUUGAAAGUGGAUCUU